ensembl:snRNA U1 U1 spliceosomal RNA
AUACUUAUCUGGUGGGGGAGAUAUCAUGAUCACAAAAAUGCUUUUCCCAGGACAAGGCUCAUCCAUUGCACUCUAGAUGGGCUGACCCUUGCAAUUUUCCCAAACGUGGGAACUAAUUUGUGGUAGCAGGGGACUGUGUUUGUGCUUUCCCCUA